GAUGAAGAACGUAGCGAAAUGCGAUAAGUAAUGUGAAUUGCAGAAUUCAGUGAAUCAUCGAAUCUUUGAACGCACAUUGCGCCCGCCAGUAAUCUGGCGGGCAUGCCUGUUCGAGCGUCAUUUCAACCAUCAAGCCCCCGGCUUGUGUUGGGGACCUGCGGCUGCCGCAGGCCCUGAAAAGCAGUGGCGGGCUCGCUGUCACACCGAGCGUAGUAGCAUACAUCUCGCUCUGGGCGUGCUGCGGGUUCCGGCCGUUAAACCACCUUCAUAACCCAAGGUUGACCUCGGAUCAGGUAGGAAGACCCGCUGAACUUAAGCAUAUCAAUAAGCGGAGGA
rnacentral:misc_RNA from 1 species